rnacentral:rRNA from 1 species
GACGAACCGUGCGAACGUUAUUCGGAAUCACUGGGCUUAAAGCGCGUGUAGGCGGGGCGGCACGUCCGUCGCUGAAAUCCCCCGGCUCAACCGGGGAACGGGCGCGGAUACGACCAUCCUCGAGGGACGUAGGGGGACCUGGAACUUCCGGUGGAGCGGUGAAAUGCGUUGAGAUCGGAAGGAACGCCCGUGGCGAAAGCGAGGUCCUGGACGUCUGCUGACGCUGAGACGCGAAAGCCAGGGGAGCGAACGGG